GGUUUCUUGGCGCAGUUGGUUAGCGCGUCUCCUUAACAACUUCUAUCUUCAGAUCGUUAUAGCUAACGGAGGAGGUCGCCGGUUCGAACCCGGCAGAGAUCA